GACAAUGUUACUUCAUACUCGCGUUUCAGUUUUUCGUAAUUUCAAUUAUUUUAUAAUUACUUUUGUUUUGUUAUUAUCUCGCCCAAUACUUGGCGUACAAAAGCAAACGGAUGAGAUUUUUGAACGAAUUCCCUGUCCUCCGGUGUGGCAGGGCAUCUACAAAUGUGAUCUUCAAGAUUUGUCUCAUGCUACUGCAUUCGGAAUGAAUUUAACAUGUGCCACAAACCAAGUGUGUAAUUUCGCUUACAUAGAACCCUGUCAACCAUGUAUUGACAAUGUUCACGUCUGCUCUGAUAUUUAUUCCUGUGUCGAUGACAAAACAGUAUUAAUUGGUAAAAACUUAUUUGUCUGUGAAGGCAGCCAAAAAUGUAACAAAAAUUUUGAGCAAGGGUGCAAGCCUUGUAUCAAUGAUGAAACCAUAACUACUCCAUCUACUCAAAAACCUAGUACAACAACGUUAAGAAUCGAAAUUCCGCCAAAUUGUAACGACGGCAACGGACUUUCGAAUCCGUGUAGACGUGGUCCGCCUUAUUCAAAAUAUUAUUAUCAAUGUGUUAGGUACUCGCCAGUUUGGAUCGAUUAUCAAGCAAAACCUUGUUCCCAGAAGCAAUCGAAUCGAGUGUGUAGAAAUGCUGAUGUUUGCUAAUUGAAAUAUAAUACUGAAUAUUUGUCAAUUGAAUAAAAAAAAAAUAUAUAAAACGUUUGAUAGUUAUUUUUAGAUUAAAUUAAACAAAUUUUAAUUUGUUAUUGUGUGUUCCACAAACGUGGGAGCAAUAUGAAGCAAAUAUAAUAUAAAAUUAAUAUUCACAA